UUGAUAUUAUUUUCUUGUUCAAGAAUUACAUAAAAUGUGACAUGAGUACAGGAGUCGAUAUUUUAUUGAAGGACUAAUAGCAUCCAGAAAGCAAAUGAUAGAUUCUUGACAGGAGUCAUUCACUUUCAGAAGCGAGACAUGUAUCAGCCUUCAAUUCAGGAACAAAAAUUUCAGUUGGUUCAAGACAUCCUCUCAAUGUGUCAUGCCCAAGUUGUGCUCUUUCAUUGUCUCCAAAUCCAAAUAUCCGCCCCUGGC
rnacentral:misc_RNA from 1 species